UACAGAGGUCCCAAGCGUUGUUCGGAUUCACUGGGCGUAAAGCGCGCGUAGGCGGCCCGGUAAGUCCGUUGUAAAAGUCGAAGGCUCAACCUUCGAAAGCCGAUGGAUACUGCCGGGCUAGAGUACGGAAGAGGCGAGUAGAAUUCCUGGUGUAGCGGUGGAAUGCGCAGAUAUCAGGAGGAACACCGGUGGCGAAGGCGGGUCUCUGGGCAGUAACUGACGCUGAGGAGCGAAAGCGUGGGGAGCGAACAGG
rnacentral:rRNA from 1 species